AUAUCCAUGUAUCUGCUCGCCAAUCAUUCGAGGGCACUCCGCCAGCAUGCUCGUCAUCGUGUGCUCGUUCGGCUGCAACCCCUGCCUCAUCAUCUGACAGAGCACCUCCACAGCCCGUGCGAGGUCGCCGUUCCUGCAGAGCGCCGAGACAAGCGAAGUGUACCCCACGACAUCCGGCGCCUCCAUCCUGCGAAACACCUCCUCAGCCGCCCACAUGGAGCCGCACCUCGAGUAGAGCUCGAUGAGGCAACUCCCGAUCCAGGCGUCGGCGGCGAAGCCCGCCCGCACGGCGAGCGAGUGCACCUGCUCGCCGAGGCUGAGCGCGCCGGCGCCCGCGGCCGCGCACGCCGCCAGCGCCGCGUUGCACGCGAAGUCGUUGGCCGCGACGCCGGACUCCAGCAUGUCCGCGAACAUGGCCGCGGCCGCCUCGGGCUGCCCGUUCCGCGUGCACCCGGAGAUGGCCGUGGUCCACGCGACGACGUUCUUGCGAGGCAUACGGUCGAACAGGUCCAGCGCGUCACUUAGCCUCCCGGACUUCAUCAGCGCGUCCAACCGUUUGCAGUCGAGGACGACGUCAGGCGGCGGCGGCGCACCGAGGCGUACAUUGGCCGCCGCCGUGGGCGGGCGGGCAAUGACAUGGCUCGUUGGCGCGGGGAGUAGACGAAGCGUGGGCUGCUUCGCGUGGAGCGCGACCAUUUCCCGCGGUAGCCGCACAGCAGGACUGUGGGAGGCCGGGAAAGGAUAAGCUGUGUGUGUGAUGGCAGCGUGGCGCCUUGUCGCUGGGCUCCAUUCUAUUAUUCCUCCAGUCCAUCCAGUUCCAGGACCUCAAUCUCCGCGACCUCCUCCGCGCCGACGGCCCCGUGUCGUCCACAUCCUCAGCGCCCUCAUCCACUUUCUCUUCUUCAGGCAAGAGAAGCUCACCUUGCUAGAGCCUAUCGUCGAAGAGUACGGCGCGAUUGAGAAACGGCAGGGGGAGCUCAGGGCUAAGAUCGCCGAGGUCUCUUUCCCAUCCUCCUCCUUUACAUUUUUCUGCCUUCUGUCCGGGGAAAUACUUAGAUUUUCUCUCCUCUUUGUGCGUUUUCUUUUCUGCGUUUUUUUCCCUUCCAUUUUCCACCUUAUACAGCUUAGCAAGGCGAAAGAGGACCAUCUGCUUAAGGAGCAGGUGGAGGCACACAUGGUCCAGCAGCUCGAGAAUGAGGUCAAUGCCCUCAAGCAGAGGCUUCAUGAUUAUAACAGAGAGCAGCUGUCACUGCGCAAUGCAUCAAAAGCCUUGGACGAAAAGAGAGAGGAUACACUGAGGAAGGUGCUGAUUCCUGUCUUGCCUUGCAUUUUUUUUCUUCCUUUUGAUUAGGAUGGUACUUGGAGCUUUUCCUUGGUAUGUUUUUAUUCUUGUUUUCUGUGUGAUCAACAGAGCUUUGCAAUGUGGGCUUUUGUUUAGAUAUGUCUACUUUGAACCUCCUGCAUAUUUUGGCUGCUGUCAAUAAUAUUGGCACUACUACCAUGCUGCCUUAAGCUACAACACCAAGUAGAUUUCUUGUUUGGUGUAUUGCUGAUACCUUCUGUCAAUAAAUUGUUGUCCAUGAAAACUAAGAGGUAUGUAUAAUCUGGUUGUUGCUCAAGUUUCCACCAUGUUAUGCUACCAGCAUAUUAAAAGAGCAUGUUUCCCAUGCAUGUAUCAAGCAUGUUAUAUUUGAGAAUGUGCCUACAGCGUGGAUACUAUUGGAAUUUGGAGGUAGUAUGAGCUAACAUUGAAAUUAAUUGAAGAGUCAUAUGCUCAAGAAUUUUGUUCAAUGCCAACAAGAUAACAAAUUGUAUUGAAGUCAGUAGGUUUUGUUUGCCUAUAUUCUGUUCCAGGCUUCUUGGUUGAAGCUAGCACAAGUAGUUUUGGAUUACAUGGAGUUUGGAUGAUGCCGUAGGUGAUAGUGAGCUGCCUUUUGGUAGGUUCAUUGGUUCAGUCAGUUGGAAUUUAGAAAUAUUUCAUCUGAUUCACGUCAACAGAUAAUGUAACUUGCCACUGGUUUUCAUUAUACAUACGUUGAAAAUCUCAUUAGACUUAAAACUGGAGAAGCUGGAGUUGUUAGGCCAGACAUGAGACACCCCUCUUACUCUGUUUUUUUUUACUCCGAGGAGCCAAAGCUCCAUAGGCUGCCACCUUCUGUAUGUUAUAGGUGCUCCAGGUCAAAUCAGUCUUUACAUGUUUAAGAAAGAGAUCUUUUAGCAUAACUGGAAGACAUUUAGUUAUUUAAUCAGCCACUGAAUGCUGACAUUUUUUUUCUUCCUAACUAAUAAUUUGUAUUUAUUAGCAUCAGCUUUGCUUUGUAUAUAUGGACAUUGACCAGCAGAACUGCUCUUAUUAAGUUAAACUGGAUUUUUUUUACUCUAUUCAAAGCAGUACUUCAUAAUAUUACAUUCACUGCUUGUUUUUGUUUCUGGCAGAUCAACCAGGCUGAUUUUGAGUUGGUGAAAGUUAUGCAAGAAAAGAAAAAGCUAUCAGCCAAAAUUGUUCAUUCCCCUGAAAAGCUCCAGGUAGGCUGUAUGUUUGUUUUAAACUGCUACAGGCAUAAAGUUCAUCAGGAAUUGAAUGGGUUGGAAUGCCUAAGCUAAAAAGGCUGAAAACCAUUCAUACAAGCAACUCUAUAGGUGGUUCUAGAAUUACUUUCCAUGGUAGAACAGCAAGCCAUAGUUUUCCUAACUGUCUUACUCGAUGCAACUAGGACUAGCAAGUAUGGUGUCAUCCUUUUAACUGUCGGAAUGACUUUAUCUCUUCACAGUUCAGCAUAUAACUAUGAAUGAAUUAUUCACUCAACAUAUUAUUGCAAUUGUUUUUUUUUUUGAAAGUAAAGGCAGGAGCUCUGCCGCUCAAUUAAGAAGGAAAAGUGGUUUAUGUACAAAAGCACCCAAAGUGCCAAACAGGCAAAAACACCGGUCAUAAGACCAAACACAAACAGGUACCACUCACACGUUUGUUUUACCCCACAAUACACAUGGCCCUACGCCUUUGAACAAUAUCUUCCUUGACCAAUGCUGCAACUUGUGCUGACGUUUUGUGCUCAUUUUCAAAGAUCCUCCUGUUCCUUUCCUUCCACAGGUUCCACACAACAUAGAUAAACACUCCAUUAAAUGUUCUGCAUUGUUGCUUUGGCACCUUGGUCGCCGCCUCCUCCCACCAAUCGGCGAGGCACAUGAGAUCUUGUUGGGGCAGCUGCACAUCAAAGUUUUCCCAGGUUAACACCUGGCUCCAGACGGCUCUAGCAAAGGGGCAUAGCAGAGAUAGAUGCAGCCCUGUCUCCAGAGGUCCAUUACACAAAAUGCAAUGGUCUUGAUGUGGCCACCCUCUCUUUUGAAGGUUGUCAGCUGUGAGGAUUUUGCCAUGCAUUAGUAUCCAGGCAUGCACUUUGCAUUUAUUUUCUGCCCUUGCUCUCCAAAUAAGAUCAGCCUGGAACUUGCAAUGCGAACCUCGAAACUGUAUCCUGUAAGCUGAACGUGUGGAGUAGUUACCGUCAGCUGUCCAUCUCCAAACUAUGGAAUCUUGCACAUCGGGCAUUAGCUGCACAUCCUGGAGCCUGAUCCAAAGGGCAACAAAUUCCUGUAUCUGUACAGAUGUUGUAAUUCGUGCCCUGAGGGAUCGGAUCCAGUUACCAUUUUGUAGCUCUUGGCGAACCGUCCUGUUCUUACAACGCACUACCUCGAAAAGGUGGGGUGCUAGGAAUCUUGGAGCUUCACCCUCUAGCCAAUUAUGGUGCCAGAAACGUGCCUUGUCACCAUUUCCAAUUGUUAUCGUGGUUGAGGCAUUGAAGAGCAGUCGGUCUCUGUCAUUACACAGCAGUUCCGUCCCUACCCAAGGUUUUGAGUCCUGAACCCACUCCUGCCACAACCAACGUAGCCGCAAGGCUGUUCCAAAUCUUUCCAAAUCCGGCACCCCCAAACCUCCCAAAUCCUUUGGCAUGCACACUGUUGGCCAAUUUACCAGGCAAUGUCCUCCAUUAGCGUUCUCCUCCCCUUUCCAAAGAAAAGAUCUUCUGAGUUUGUCAAUUUUCUUUCUUGCCCAUACUGCCAGUGGGAAUACUGUGAGGUGAUAGGUAGGCAUUGAAGAUAGCACCGAGGUGACCAAAGUAAGUCUACCCGCUCUAUUGAGCAAUCUACCUUUCCAUCCAGGUAGCCUUUGCCCAAUGCGUUCAAUGAGAGGUUGCACAUGGACCUUCUGUAGGGAUCUCGUGUGGAGCUGCAAUCCUAAGUAGCGGCAUGGGAAGGAUUCUCUUGUCCCUGCAAAUGAGGCUAACACAUGGUCUAAAUCGAUGUUCUGACAUUGGAUUGGGUGUACCGAGCUCUUCUGUAGGUUUAUGUGUAAGCCUGAUACAUUGCCAAAUUCCUGGAGGAUCAUGGUGAUGGAGUCCAAGUCAUCCUUGAUCCGGUUAGUGAAUAUAGCCGCAUCAUCAGCAUACAUGGAGGUUCUCCACCUGGUCGUAGGUAGAGGAAGAGCACUAAGAACGCCUUGUUGUGUUGCCAUGUCUAGCAGGCGUUGGAGAGGGUCCAUAGCGAGUAUGAACAGCAUGGGGGAUAAAGGGUCACCCUGCCGAACCCCUCUCCUGUGGCUAAAAGCUGGACCCUGCUGUCCAUUUAGCAGUGCUCUCGAUGAUGUCGUGCGGAAAAGGAUAGAAACCCACUCCCGCCAGCGUGGUCCGAAACCUAAGGCCUGCAGUACCUCAAGGAGGUAGCUCCAACUGACCGUGUCAAAAGCCUUGUGUAUGUCAAGUUUGAGGAACAACAUUGGCAGCUUCAUCUUUUGCAUUGUCCGGACUAUGUUCUGAACAUAUAGAAAGUUGUCGUGGAUGUUCCUCCUUUUAAUGAAGGCGCUUUGGCAUUUUGAAACUAAGGAAUCAAGCAGCGGCGCCAACCUAUUUGCCAGUAGUUUGGCGAAAAUCUUUGCUACGCUGUGAAUGAGGCUGAUCGGGCGGAAGUCUGCAACUCUCAAAGCAUCCAUUUUCUUUGGAAGCAGGAUGAUGUUUGCUGAAUUUAGGAACUCAAAACCUUGGGAGUUUAGACUAUACAGACUGUUCACAGCGGCAGUGACAUCCUCUUUGAUAAUAUCCCAACAAGCUUUGAAGAAGGCGCCUGUGAAGCCAUCUGGACCCGGUGCCUUGUCCGACGGCAUGGAGUUUAUUGUAUCUUUGAUUUCAUCUUGUGUGAACGGGGCCUCGAGUGCCGACAGAUCCCUUGGGACAUAUCCAAGCGCCGACCAGCUGAACGUCGUCGACCUCGGUUCAUGGGAGCCUAGGUGUCCCGAAAAAUAGUCCGCAAUGAUUUUUUCUUUAUCAUUGUGUGUAGUCGCCACCCUCCCAUCAGUGUGCAGGCUAUGGAUAUAAUUCUUCCUCAUUCUCGUGUUAGCCCGAAUGUGGAAAAAUUUUGCGUUUGCAUCUCCACUGCGGAUGUAUGUGAGCCUUGCCCGCUGUCUAAUUCUUGAUUUUUCAAUGGCCGCUAAUCCAGUGCUUCUGAUUUUUAGCCGACGGCGUAGGUGGAGCUCCUGCUGCGUGAGUGUUCUGACUUCCUGCGCUGCCUCGAGCUGUAGCAGAACCUCUUUGACAAUGGCUAGCUGCAGCCGAGUAUCCCCAAUCUUCUCCUUCCGCCACCUCUUGAGGCCUUUUGCCACUCGCACUAAUUUUAUAUGCAGCCGUUUGAAGGGUAGCACAGAGUGGACAGGUUUGCACCAGACUUGCUCCACCACGUCCCUGAAAUCAUCCACCUUGACCCAGAAAUUUUCGAAGCGGAAGGUGUUAUUGUGGCAGUGCUCAAGCUCUCCUUGCAGAAGUAGAGGGGUGUGAUCAGACAUGAGUGAAGGCAAGGAGUGGAGGAAGCACUAGGUGCUCUAUCUAAGAUUGCGUUCUUUUUAAAAAAAUGUCCAUUUUCCCCAGAAUCGUUAGUUCUUGCUUCUUUUUAUGUGUUAUGAGUGUAUUUUCUUUAUGUGCUUACAUUGUCAAAUUGCUUCGAUCAGAAUUAUGAGCUUCAAUCAGAUAAUCAUCAUCUUGUGCUAGCUUCCAUAAUAACUAUGGAUUUUAUUUUCUAUAUCAAAGAGGAACCUUGAGGAGAAGAAAUCAGUCCGUGAUGAGUUAAAGAACUUAGAGAAGAUAGCAAUGCAGAAAGUCCAAGAGAAAACCAAUACUCUUGAGAUGUAUACUAAGGUACUCUUUAUGAUGCAAUAAAUUUAUUGUAAACAAUACAGAUCAUGUGCUAACAAACAGUGUUUUGUUGCUGCUAAUCUUGAGUUCCCAUUUAGUUCUCCCCACAGCCUCGUAUCAUUCUUUUCUUACUACAGCUGAUAGGCAAUUGCUCAAAUGAUCAAAUCGCAAGAAUCAUUUGACUUUCUAUUUGGUGGGGGGGUGGGGGGGGGGGGGGGGCUUCUUGUGAGGCUGGACUUUAUUCCUGUAUACUCCAUUGAUGUAGUUGCAUGAUAAGCAUCUUUAUUUUGCAGGUUUCUGAGAAACUAGCGAAGCAUCUCUCUAAAAUAUCUGCUGUACAUGAAAAGGUAUGAAUAGCGUCAAGCUUUCCUUCGCGCAUGAUUUUUUUCCCUUUGGCUGAUUGCAGCCUUGAGUCAAAUUGGUAUAACAAUGACUGUACAAAUAUAUUAUCCAUGCUAGAGCGCUGCUGCUAAAGCUUUUGAGAAGGAUGUUAAAGCACACAAAGAGAAGAUCAGUGAUCAAAAUCUGGAGAUAAAGGCACUUCGCAAUAAAGCUGCUGAAUGGGAAAUGAAAGGUUAGUAUAUUUUUAGCAUUGCUCAAGUAUUAUCAAGUCAGUUCUUAGUUCAAAUGUUAUCAUCCCAUCACUGUGCAUGAACAUCUUGCAAUUAGUACUCGAGAACGAGGCCAAAGUGAAAGCAAAGGAGAAAGAAAGGGAUCAAAGAGUUGGAGAGCACAAUCGGAAGAUGACUGCAUUGAAAUCUGAAGUUGAAUCGGAGCAGAAGUGCCUUGAGGAGAAAGAAAGAAAAAUAAAGGAAACAAUUGACAAGGUGAUGUUCUUAUCCUGGAUGUUCUGCUGUUGAAAAGAAUUCUUUCAAAAUUGCACUCCAUGAGUUGUCACAUCCUGUUUAUUGCUUUACAUGUUACCUUUGAAUUUGAUUGAUACCUUUGAGCCUGAUUAGUAGCUGUGGCUCUAUAAAUCUAGAAGGGAAAACAUAGGCUAUGCAUUCAGCACUUCAUUUAAAGCCUUGUAGGCUGUUUUCAUCAUUUUUCUUUAUUGUUUGUACCUCUUUCACAUUUUCUGACAUACUGUGUGCCAAUCAGGGUUCUGAAUUAUGCUCUCAAGCUGAUUCGGUUGCUGAAGCUGGAAGGAAGAAAAUAGAGGAAAUCUAUGGGAAGUAUGAUCAAGUUUGUGAGGCGGUACGUCCUAGCUAGAAGCCUAUUUGAUUUCCUAAAAGCACACUAGCCCAUAAAGAACAUUGGUUUCCUUGAGGUUGUUUGCUGAUAACAGCUUUUUCUCCAGGCUAACAUGUACAUUGAUGGUUCGGAUCAGUCCUUCGAAGAGACUGAUGAAGCUGCAGCGAUGCUGAAAACUAUAGCCCAGAGUGGCGCUUGAUGUGGUGAAGUGACCAUCUGGCAAAGGAUCGUGGACAAUUAUCAUCAUAGUAAUAAUUGUGCUAGUGUCCGGCUUUGUAUAUAUACCUUCAUUGGAUCAUGUCGUGUGGUCACUUUUGCAUCUCGUUCAUGUUGUUGCUCUGAUCGGGUGUGGUCAGUGUAUGUGCUUUUAGCACCUCUAUUUUAAUUUAAUUAUCAGUACUUCCUAGUAUUAGUGUAAGCAAUGGAGCAUUGGGCGUGGUCUUACAACUUUCCUACUAGCCUCUUGGUCUCAGUUUUGUUGACUCAGAAUAUAUAGAAAAAAAAUAACUUAAAAAUCUGGAACUCAUUAUAAAAAACAUACAAUUUGAAACCAAAACAACUUAUAAUUUGAUAGAAGUUAGUGUAGACUUACAAUUUGGAUUGAAGUUUGUAUAUAUAAGCAAGGUUGCAUUUGCAACUGAGAUAUCCAUGAAACUGUGUAUAAAUCACAACAGACUACAAAAAAUAUGUAGUUUUUGUUCUCAAGGCAUCACGCGCAUUCAAUUUAAACUCGGCAGAUGAGUUUAUGGCAGGAAAAAUGGCCAUGAACUGUUAACGACACGAGCAUUUCAAGAAAAAGAAAAACAAAGAGAUUUGGAACGUUCAGUGUUCAAGCGCCCACGACAGGUAAAAAAGAAAAGAAAAAAGAGAGAGGCCUUCCUGGGUUGAAUUUGUUUUGUGGCCCAUGUGAAAGCGGCCCGUUGUGCUCCGGCCUGCUAGCUGCAAUUGAUUCAUGGCUGAAACAAACUUGUACAAUUCAUAGUUUCAUUUUUGUGUGUGUUAUAUUUGAAUUUUAUUCUAUGACACAUUCAGACUUGGAAACAGUGUUCAUGGGGUUUCAUCUCACCGAUGAAACUCACAUUUCAUCUCUCUUGUUUAAUUCUUUGCAUGUCAUCAAAUUUCUUUGGUUGGCACCAACUUCCAUUGAGAGUGGCCUUCCACAGAAUGACAGAAAGGGCUCUUUAUUUAUUCAGUGGGAGCAACAAUACACUGUUUUGUAAUACAUAUAUCCAAAGCAUGAUGACGAACAAUAUUAUCAAUUAUUACACACAAGACAGAGCUGGAGUCUUCCAUGUUAUAAAUAUAUGACCACAGAUUUUUAUCUCAGUAGCGCCGAAUUCAUACGAAUUGUUUCAUGUUAUGGCUAGUCUCUGUCUCACUCUCUCUCUCCUGCAGAAUUCAGGCUCGUUGGAUUGGGUUUGCCAUCCUUUUCCACCUUGCCAUUUUUUCCAUCCCCUAACAAUAUGUAUAUAUAUAAGGGAAAAAACAAACAAUUUCAGUAAAGAUACUGCAUUAUCUUGGUAAUGCUAGGUUCCGGUUGGACAAUCGAAUUAGUACGCACCUUUUUCGUGAUUGGACUGCCACCUCCUUGUCUUGGAUGCUGUUCAUGACAAAACCCAAGGGAUUGAGCACCUCCUCGUAGCUGCAUGCAUCACACACACAACACAAAGGCCUCAAGGAGGGUUCCUUUCCCAUUUAAUGAUGUGACACAUCAAAAAAUUUGCUAAGUUAUCAGAUUAAUUAUGAAGAGAAAGAUAGGUAGAGUUUUAUAAAGUUUCAUCUAAAUAAAACUCGUUGUCAUAGUUACCAACACAAAAGCUGCAUAAAACUCCCUAUUGUCAGAGACUGGCUUAUAUACUACUGUUUGCAGCCAUAAAAUACUACAGAAGUAUAAGUACAUACCAGAUAAGCAUCUUACUCGUUUACUGCUGCGUUGAAUGGUGGCCCUGUGAUUCCUGUCCUUCAACCUGCCAUGCAUGCACGUUUAUAUAUCAUGUUUGAUCAGUGGUUAUAUGUACUUUAUUAUUACCAGGUUACAUGAGGGUAAUAAGCUCCCCAUCUGGUCUGAGCAGGUCGACAAUUCUCUUUGGCCCAUGCUGGCCUCAUUGACGGCUCGAAAGCGCAGAAGAAUCUGACGAACGAAACAAUGCAAACCUGGUACGCACAAUCAUAUCAUGCAUAACGAAUACAAUUUGAUGAAUGCAGAAGCACAACACGGCCGGGCGGUGUACAAAAGCGCAUUCAGAGAUGUCGAGGCCGACGACGAAGCAGCAACGGCUGAGAUAUCGAUCGAUGCAUGUCAUGUGUGAGAUGGUGAUCGAGGUCAGCAUGCAUGGUGACCACGUGCUCGUACACCGUCGGGUUCGAAACGUUGGCCACCGCCGGCGAUAGUCGUGGAUGCCGCCACGCCACGCCAUCAUCAGCUAUAACUACGUACGGCGCCACUGCUCAACAAGACUACAAAAACAUUUCUUUAGGGAGGUAAAGGUUAACAGUUCUACUUUGGCAUACACUAUGUGCCACUAUGACAUGUAAAGUCUGCAAGUGAUAUGUUCCUCUUUGGCAUCUAAAUCUGCAUAUGAACAUCUAACUCUGUAUCUUGCAUCACAACAACGAGCUCUGCAAGCAUAUGAUAGAUGGAUGCCGAGUCUGAAUGAGACGUGUCUCUUGCAACAAAGGUGCUGACCUCGUUCUUGACCUCGAUCCAGCUCCAACCGGCAUCCUUCUUCACCCCAAUUUCAUCCAUCCUCCGACGCACCCUCUCCGCAUCCUGCCAUUCUUCAUGCAUCGCAUAGAGGUUUGACAUCAGCACGUAGCUCGCGGAGUCUCUUUCUGAAAGCUCCAUCAGCUUGUCUGUUGCGAGUUUUCCAAUGUCAAGAUUCUUGUGCAGCUUGCAAGAUGCUAAUAGUGUCUUCCAAAUCAAAACAUCAGGCUCGAAUGGCAUAUUCUCGAUCAUGUGUAGCGCCUCAUCGAAUCUGCCAUUCCGACCCAGCAUGUCGAUCAUGCAAGCAUAGUGAGAAGGGGUCGGUGUGAGACCAUACCGAUCAGUCAUUAGUCUGAAGAAUGUCUCCCCUUCCUUCACCAGACCUGCAUGAUUGCACCCUACCAAGACUGCUAUAAAUGUCGAAUCGUCUGGCUGCCAACCACUUGAACACAUCUCACUGAAUGCCUCCAGUACCAAGUUUGCAGCUCCAUGCUGUGCGAGACCAUGGAUCAGUGAGUUCCAAGACAUGACAUCAUGAAGAUUCAUGACAUCAAAUGCAAGCCUUGCAGAUCCAAUUUGACCACACUUGGAGUACAUGUUGAUUAGUGCAUUCCCAGUACAAACUUUGAAGUCACACCCCAGUUUCAGUGCCAGGCAAUGAAGCUGCCUUCCUUGAUCCAACAAUGCCAGGUCUGCACAAGAACUCAGACCACUAGAGAAGGCAUAGUCAUUCGGUGUAAAACCUUCCGAAUGCAUCUGAAGAAGCAAUGCCACGGCCUUCUCACUGAAACCAUUCUGGAAGUUCGCAGAAAUGGCAGCUGUCCAGCUAACAAGAUCAGGAUUUUCAAUCUUGCCAAGCACAGCAUCGAUUUCUGAAACAAAACCACUCCUACCAUACAUAGAGAGCAAAGCAUUUGAUACUCGGAUGUCAGUCAUUAAGUUGCACUUGAUGACUGAGCAGUGAAUUUGACGCCCCAGACAAACAAACCCACAAGCCCCGAGAGCAAUUGAAAAUGCAAACUCAUUUGGCUCAACGGCCUCCGAAAUCAUCUCGCUGAACACUCGCAGUGCAUCUUCCAACCUUCCAUCCCUAAUGCACAGCUGCAUCAUGGAGCACCACGACACCACGUUCUUGGAGUCAAGAUUUUCAAACACUGUUUCCGCCAUGUCAAAGUCACCGUGCCUCGAAUAGAAGUCAAUCAGUGCAGUCGAUGCAUAGACGCUCUGUGAACCCAUUACCUUGAGCAUAUAUCCAUGUAUCUGCUCGCCAAUCAUUCGAGGGCACUCCGCCAGCAUGCUCGUCAUCGUGUGCUCGUUCGGCUACAACCCUAGCCUCAUCAUCUGACAGAGCAUCUCCACAGCCCGUGCGAGGUCUCCGUUCCUGCAGAGCGCCGAGACGAGCGAAGUGUACCCCACGACAUCCGGCGCCUCCAUCCUGCGAAACACCUCCUCAGCCGCCCGCAGGGAGCCGCACCUCGAGUAGAGCUCGAUGAGG
rnacentral:lncRNA from 1 species